GAUGGUUGUUGUCCAGUAUCAGUUCUGUAACCAGUUCCAAACCGUACUAACGACCCGUUCUCGAGCAGUGAUCUAAACACAUUGCAAAGUUAGUUACUUGGUUAUGCAUGUAAACUUACGAAGUCACACGUUCCUCAGCCGUUGGAGGCAACGACUCUGCGGCUCCGCGAUCACGAGGCCUCCUUUGGUAGUCUGGGAUCCCGGAAGGAUUCCGGCUUAUUCCCUGGCCUUGAAAUCCACGGGUCCAAUUUCCCUGGGGCAAACAAAAAGUGUAUUUGGUGUCACACGUCUCCCGGCCCAAUCCGUGGGGAAGAGCGGGCUUUCGCCCCCGGCCUCGUAACGUCGGGUAGGUUUUCCCCGACUCGACUGCGCUUCUCUUCGUCUCCUUCGCGAACCCGCCGUCGCCCACUGCCUCCUCUCCUUCUACCUCGCGCACCCGCCGCCGCUUGCUGUCUCCUCUCUCGCGCGCACCGGUGUUCCCAUCGCCGUCUCCUUAUCUCCCUCGUGCAGCCGCUGUUGUCUCCUCUCCACCCUUGUACCCGCCGCCGCCUCCUCUUCAGAUUUCCUCUUCUUCACCCUCGCUGCCUCCUCUUCACCCUCGCUACGGCCUCCUCAAAUCGUUGAGACAACUAGUACAGUUGAGACAACUGGUGCGAGGUCGGACGGCGGGGACCAUGCGAACAAGCUCGUUGCUGCCUUCUCGGCUCGUGCACCCUCAUCUCAAGAAGUGAAUCGCCUCAGGUGAUACACAAGGGAUUUUCAUCAACAAGUGGUCGCCAGAAGAACUGAAACAUCAAGAUGGCGUUUGCUUUUAGGUCAUGCCAUUCAGGAGAUGAUGUUUUAUUAUUAUGCACUGAGACUAUGUUUGACAUUGGUCGUGUACACUGAGACUGUUUUAUUAUGAUGCACUGAGACUAUGUUUGUGUACACUGAGACUAUGUUUUAUUAUGAUGCACUGAGACUGUUUUAUUAAGCAGUGUGAAGUUCACAGCUGCUGUUCUCAUUUUAAUGCAAUUGUGUUCAAUGAGCAGUGUUGAAUGACAAA